GUACUGGAGGUCCGAACCGACUAGUGUUGCAAAACUAGCGGAUGAGCUGUGGAUAGGGGUGAAAGGCUAAACAAACUUGGAAAUAGCUGGUUCUCUCCGAAAACUAUUUAGGUAGUGCCUCAAGUAUCACCAUCGGGGGUAGAGCACUGUUAUGGCUAGGGGGUCAUCGCGACUUACCAAACCAUUGCAAACUCCGAAUACCGAUGAGUGCGAGCUUGGGAGACAGACGCCGGGUGCUAACGUCCGACGUCAAGAGGGAAACAACCCAGACCGCCAGCUAAGGUCCCAAAGAUUGGCUAAGUGGAAAACGAAGUGGGAAGGCUAAAACAGUCAGGAGGUUGGCUUAGAAGCAGCCAUCCUUUAAAGAAAGCGUAAUAGCUCACUGAUCGAGUCGUCCUGCGCGGAAGAUGUAACGGGGCUAAGCCAGUCACCGAAGCUGCGGAUAUCCGUAAGGAUAUGGUAGGAGAGCGUUCUGUAAGCCUGUGAAGGUGUCUUGUAAAGGAUGCUGGAGGUAUCAGAAGUGCGAAUGCUGACAUGAGUAGCGAUAAUGCGGGUGAAAAGCCCGCACGCCGUAAGCCCAAGGUUUCCUGUUCAACGUUCAUCGGAGCAGGGUGAGUCGGCCCCUAAGGCGAGGCAGAGAUGCGUAGCUGAUGGGAAGCAGGUUAAUAUUCCUGCACCGUCGUAUGAUGCGAUGGGGGGACGGAUCGCGGAAGGUUGUCCAGCUGUUGGAAUAGCUGGUUUCUGGUUCAUAGAAGGCACUUAGGCAAAUCCGGGUGCGUAAUUCAAGGGACUGGGACGUGUAGCCAUGUGCUACGAAGCAAUCGGAAGUGGUUCCAAGAAAAGCCUCUAAGCUUCAGUCAUACGAGACCGUACCGCAAACCGACACAGGUGGGCGAGAUGAGUAUUCUAAGGCGCUUGAGAGAACUCGGGAGAAGGAACUCGGCAAAUUGGUACCGUAACUUCGGGAAAAGGUACGCCUCGGUAGCUUGACCACUUUACUGUGGAAGGGCGAAAAGGUUGCAAUAAACUGGUGGCUGCGACUGUUUAAUAAAAACACAGCACUCUGCAAACACGAAAGUGGACGUAUAGGGUGUGACGCCUGCCCGGUGCUGGAAGAUUAAAUGAUGGGGUGCAAGCUCUUGAUUGAAGUCCCAGUAAACGGCGGCCGUAACUAUAACGGUCCUAAGGUAGCGAAAUUCCUUGUCGGGUAAGUUCCGACCUGCACGAAUGGCGUAACGAUGGCCACACUGUCUCCUCCCGAGACUCAGCGAAGUUGAAAUGUUUGUGAUGAUGCAAUCUACCCGCGGCUAGACGGAAAGACCCCAUGAACCUUUACUGUAGCUUUGCAUUGGACUUUGAACCAAUCUGUGUAGGAUAGGUGGGAGGCUUUGAAGCGGGGACGCUAGUUCUCGUGGAGCCAACCUUGAAAUACCACCCUGGUUUGUUUGAGGUUCUAACCUUGGCCCGUUAUCCGGGUUGGGGACAGUGCAUGGUAGGCAGUUUGACUGGGGCGGUCUCCUCCCAAAGUGUAACGGAGGAGUUCGAAGGUACGCUAGGUACGGUCGGACAUCGUGCUAAUAGUGCAAUGGCAUAAGCGUGCUUAACUGCGAGACUGACAAGUCGAGCAGGUACGAAAGUAGGACAUAGUGAUCCGGUGGUUCUGUAUGGAAGGGCCAUCGCUCAACGGAUAAAAGGUACUCUGGGGAUAACAGGCUGAUUCCUCCCAAGAGUUCAUAUCGACGGGGGAGUUUGGCACCUCGAUGUCGGCUCAUCACAUCCUGGGGCUGUAGCCGGUCCCAAGGGUAUGGCUGUUCGCCAUUUAAAGUGGUACGUGAGCUGGGUUUAAAACGUCGUGAGACAGUUUGGUCCCU
rnacentral:rRNA from 1 species